GACGAACGCUGGCGGCGUGCUUAACACAUGCAAGUCGAACGGAAAGGCCCUGCUUUUGUGGGGUGCUCGAUUGGCGAACGGGUGAGUAACACGUGAGUAACCUGCCCUUGACUUUGGGAUAACUUCAGGAAACUGGGGCUAAUACCGGGUAGGAGCUCCUGCUGCAUGUUGGGGGUUGGAAAGUUUGGGCGGUUGGGGAUGGACUCGCGGCUUAUCAGCUUGUUGGUGGGGUAGUGGCUUACCAAGGCUUUGACGGGUAGCCGGCCUGAGAGGGUGACCGGCCACAAUGGGCCUGAGAUACGGACCAGAAUCCUACGGGAGGCAGCAGUGGGGAACAUUGCACAAUGGGCGGAAGCCUGAUGCAGCAACGCCGCGUGCGGGAUGACGGCCUUCGGGUUGUAAACCGCUUUCGCCUGUGACGAAGCGUGAGUGACGGUAAUGGGUAAAGAAGCCCCGGCUAACUACGUG
rnacentral:rRNA from 1 species